rnacentral:rRNA from 1 species
UAAUACAGAGGGUGCAAGCGUUGUUCGGAAUUAUUGGGCGUAAAGGGCGCGUAGGCGGUACUAUAAGUCGGAUGUGAAAGCCCAGGGCUCAACCCUGGAAGUGCAUUCGAAACUGUAGAACUAGAAUCUUGGAGAGGGUGGUGGAAUUCCCGGUGUAGAGGUGAAAUUCGUAGAUAUCGGGAGGAACAUCAGUGGCGAAGGCGACCACCUGGCUGAAGAUUGACGCUGAGGCGCGAAAGCGUGGGGAUCAAACAGGAUUAGAUACCCUGGUAGUCCACGCCGUAAACGAUGGAUACUAGCCGUUGUGGGUAUUGACCCCUGCAGUGGCAAAGCUAACGCAUUAAGUAUCCCGCCUGGGAAGUACGGCCGCAAGGCUA